rnacentral:rRNA from 1 species
AGGAUGAACGCUGGCGGCGUGCUUAACACAUGCAAGUCGAACGAUGAAGGCUGGAGCUUGCUCUGGCUGGAUUAGUGGCGAACGGGUGAGUAACACGUGAGUAACCUGCCCCAGACUCUGGGAUAAGCGCUGGAAACGGCGUACUAAUACCGGAUACGAGCUUCCACCGCAUGGUGAGGAGCUAGGAAAGUAUUUCGGUCUGGGAUGGACUCGCGGCCUAUCAGCUUGUUGGUGAGGUAAUGGCUCACCGAAGGCGACGGACGGGUAGCCGGCCUGGAGAGGGUCGACCCGGCCACACGUGGGACUGGAGACGACCGGCCCAGACCUCCGUACGGGAGCGAGCAGGUAGGGAAUUGUUAGACCAAGAAGUGGGCCGACAAGCCGU